ensembl:lncRNA
GCAAUAUAUAUUGUAGUAUGUAUUGUAUUAUAUAUAUAUAUUGUAGUGUGCGAGAAUCUGCGGACUGCAAGACAGGAAGCGGAUCGUGGACGGGGCGGAUGUUGUAGCAGGAGGAGGAACUUGUAGCAAGAGGCGGGAAUAGGCCUAUCUCACGAAAAUCGGAAAUGACGUCACACCGGGUAAACAUUCUUCCGGCGUAGUCAUUUUUGUAUUGCCGUCAAUGCAAAAAUGGAUCGUUUCUUCGCCACUUCCCUGGUGGGUAUUCCCAAAUUGCGAUUCGAAGAUGUGCAGAAGAUUGUGGAGACACACUCAGCAACACCACAGCCCAGGCUGACAAAGGGGUACAAGUUUUUUGUGGAGGAGUUUGUACACAAUUAUCAAGAUCACCCUGGAGGCUGUUGGACAACUGGGUCUCUCAGAGCUGUAGCUGUGCUGCGGGGCAAAGGCUUCUGUAGCCAUAUAACCGCUCUGUUCCAGACAGCGCAUUAUGUGCAGCUGGGCCUUGAUGUGGUUCCACCUUCCCUGGCCUGUACCAGUCAACCACAGAUGUGGCAUCGACCUCAGUGUUUCCCCUAGAAUUUUUUUUAGGCCCGGUGGUAAGAGCUGAUGGUGUGAUUUGUUAUACAUUUUUUCACGGGAUGCUAGAGUAUUUGUUGGUUAUUUCCAAAUAAAACACUUGCUUAGCCAUCACAAGUUGGUUAAGUUAUGGACAUAUAAAGAACGAGGCUAGUGUUUCGCGGGGGCGGUAAAAAUGUCCAUGGUAACGGCGGGCUGAACCAAUCAGACGUCGCAUUUACGCGAUCGGUUCAUGGUAUAGUUCUUCUGCCGGAGAAUAAACAGUGUUUUUCUAAAAACAAAGUUGAUUUAAUAUAAACUAAUUUCAUGUACAGGAGCAUAAAGCACCAAUACAUAUUGAGAUAGCUGGUGGUGAGCUUGGAUGGUUAUGAUAUUAUGGCUAAUAAUAAUAAUAAUAAAAAAAAAAGUUUUUUUUUUUUCAUUUUUUUUUUUUUUCUUUUCAUUUCUUUUCAUUUUUUUGGCCGGUUGUUGGCCUGGCGGGGGCGCUCGUUGGCCUGGCGGCCCGCCAGGCCUGAACAAUGGGAAUCCAUCCAGAGGCUGUGAGUGACCUGGUGGUGAAGAAACCCAAGUCGGUGGGGAAGACUGGAGUCAAGUCCACACUCUACAGAGCGUAUGCUGAGGGAAUAUCCAGCUUGGAGUUGGUACCAUCUCAGCUGUGCUGACCUGGAAGAUGUCAGCAAUGACCUGUUCUUUAAGGCCAGUUGCUACUCUACAACAGUAGAUGAAAACUCAUCAAUGACUGGAAUCUUCCUUGAAGGGCGUGGUGUUGGAAUCGCCUCUUGUCCAAUCCUCUGUGCUUUGCUCCAAUGAAGAAUAUAUUGUGUUGAGGGGCAAAACAGACUCCCAAAACACUUGAAACACUUCUUGAGAUGGAAACCGAGUAUAAUAUGUCAUGGUCUGAUCAGACACACAAAACCUGUUGAGGACAGUUUGUGGCCCCAUGGACAUUUCUUGCAGCCUUGCCUCCAGCUCAGCAAUAUACUCCAGGGCAUCAUCCAGUGCACCUACAAAAAAAGAAGACAAAUUAG